GACGAACGCUGGCGGCGUGCCUAACACAUGCAAGUCGAACGGAACUUUUUUAAAAGAUUUCUUCGGAAUGAAUUUGAUUAAGUUUAGCGGCGGACGGGUGAGUAACGCGUGAGUAACCUGCCUCUAAGAGGGGAAUAACAUUCUGAAAAGAAUGCUAAUACCGCAUAAUAUAUAUUUAUCGCAUGGUAGAUAUAUCAAAGAUUUAUCGCUUAGAGAUGGACUCGCGUCCGAUUAGUUAGUUGGUGAGGUAACGGCUCACCAAGACCGCGAUCGGUAGCCGGACUGAGAGGUUGAACGGCCACAUUGGGACUGAGACACGGCCCAGACUCCUACGGGAGGCAGCAGUGGGGGAUAUUGCGCAAUGGGGGAAACCCUGACGCAGCAACGCCGCGUGAAGGAUGAAGGUCUUCGGAUUGUAAACUUCUUUUAUUAAGGACGAAGAAAGUGACGGUAC
rnacentral:rRNA from 1 species